rnacentral:rRNA from 1 species
CGGACGGGUGAGUAACGCGUGGGUAACCUGCCUUGUACUGGGGGACAACAGUUGGAAACGACUGCUAACACCGCAUAAGCGCACAGCUUCGCAUGAAGCAGUGUGAAAAACUCCGGUGGUACAAGAUGGACCCGCGUCUGAUUAGCUGGUUGGUGAGGUAACGGCCCACCAAGGCGACGAUCAGUAGCCGGCCUGAGAGGGUGAACGGCCACAUUGGGACUGAGACACGGCCCAGACUCCUACGGGAGGCAGCAUG